GACGAACGCUGGCGGCGUGCCUAACACAUGCAAGUCGAACGGAGAUUUCAGCAAUGAAAUCUUAGUGGCGAACGGGUGAGUAACGCGUAGACAACCUACCUUCGAGAUGGGGACAACACUGCGAAAGUGGUGCUAAUACCGAAUGUUGUACUUUGAUUGCAUAAUCGAAGUACUAAAGAUGGCCUCUAUUUAUAAGCUAUCGCUAGAAGAUGGGUCUGCGUCUGAUUAGCUAGUUGGUGAGGUAAUGGCUCACCAAGGCGACGAUCAGUAGCCGGUCUGAGAGGAUGAACGGCCACACUGGGACUGAGACACGGCCCGGACUCCUACGGGAGGCAGCAGUGGGGAAUCUUCCGCAAUGACGAAAGUCUGACGGAGCAACGCCGCGUAAGUGAAGAAGGUUUUCGGAUCGUAAAACUCUGUUUUCAGGGACGAAUGUGCAGCUUGUAAAUAAUGAGUUGUAAUGACGGUACCUGAGUAGAAAGCCACGGCUAACUACGUGCCAGCCGCCGCAGUAA
rnacentral:rRNA from 1 species